CCCCGUCACACGAACAAAACCCCGGCGCGAGACGCGCCAAGGAAUAGAAAACGAAGAGAUAGGGAACGGGUGGCCCGUCGAGUGCCGGAGACGGAUCUCUCGCGGGCGACCCCUUCUCGUUCGGAAACAAAACGACUCUCGGCAACGGAUAUCUCGGCUCUCGCAUCUAUGAAGAACGUAUCGAAAUGCGAUACUUGGUGUGAAUUGCCGAAUCCCGUGAACCAUCGAGUCUUUGAACGCAAGUUGCGCCCGAAGCCUUCGGGCCGAGGGAACGCCUGCCUGGGUGUCAUGCGUCGUCGCCCCCCGACCAUCGGGACGGGCGGAGAUUGGUCUCCCGUGCGCUCCCGCUCGCGGUUGGCCGAAAUACGAGUUGUUGGCGGCCGAUAGCGCCACG
rnacentral:rRNA from 1 species